GACGAACGCUGGCGGCGUGCUUAACACAUGCAAGUCGAACGGAAAGGCCCUGCUUUUGUGGGGUGCUCGAGUGGCGAACGGGUGAGUAACACGUGAGUAACCUGCCCUUGACUUUGGGAUAACUUCAGGAAACUGGGGCUAAUACCGGAUAGGAGCUCCUGCUGCAUGGUGGGGGUUGGAUAGUUUCGGCGGUUGGGGAUGGACUCGCGGCUUAUCAGCUUGUUGGUGGGGUAGUGGCUUACCAAGGCUUUGACGGGUAGCCGGCCUGAGAGGGUGACCGGCCACAUUGGGACUGAGAGACGGCCCAGACUCCUACGGGAGGCAACAGUGGGGAAUAUUGCACAGUGGGCGGAAGCCUGAUGCAGCAACGCCGCGUGCGGGAUGACGGCCUUCGGGUUGUAAACCGCUUUCGCCUGUGACGAAGCGUGAGUGACGGUAAUGGGUAAAGAAGCACCGGCUAACUACGUG
rnacentral:rRNA from 1 species